rnacentral:rRNA from 1 species
GAUGAACGCUGGCGGCGUGCCUAAUACAUGCAAGUCGAGCGAACGGACGAGAAGCUUGCUUCUCUGAUGUUAGCGGCGGACGGGUGAGUAACACGUGGAUAACCUACCUAUAAGACUGGGAUAACUUCGGGAAACCGGAGCUAAUACCGGAUAAUAUUUUGAACCGCAUGGUUCAAUAGUGAAAGACGGUCUUGCUGUCACUUAUAGAUGGAUCCGCGCUGCAUUAGCUAGUUGGUAAGGUAACGGCUUACCAAGGCAACGAUGCGUAGCCGACCUGAGAGGGGGAUCGGACACACUGGAACUGAGACAGGGUCAAGACGCCUACGGGAGGCAGCAGUAGGGAAUCUUCCGCAAUGGGCGAAAGCCUGACGGAGCAAAGCCGCGUGAGUGAUGAAGGUAUUCGGAUCGUAAAACUCUGUUAUGAGGGAAGAACAAAUGUGUAAGUAACUAUGCACGUCUUGACGGUACCUAAUCAGAAAGCAACGGCUAACUACGUG